GGUCUGGCUGGCCGGUCCGCCUCACCGCGAGUACUGGUCCGGCUGGACCUUUCCUUCUGGGGAACCUCAUGGCCUUCACUGGCUGUGGGGGGAACCAGGACUUUUACUGUGAAAAAAUUAGAGUGUUUAAAGCAAGUGAAUAACAGCCUGAAUACAUUAGCAUGGAAUAAUAGAAUAGGA
rnacentral:rRNA from 1 species